AUAAUACUCCAUAGAUUAGAGACACUGGAAUGUUCUUUAGUCGAAAGUUCUGGCGCCUUAGGAUGGAUCUGCGGUCGAUUAGGUUGUUGUUGGGGUAACGGCCCAACAAGCCUGUAAUCGAUACGGGUUGUGGGAGCAAGAGCCCGGAGAUGGAAUCUGAGACACGAUUCCAGGCCCUACGGGGCGCAGCAGGCGCGAAAACUUUACAAUGCAGGAAACUGUGAUAAGGGAACUCCGAGUGCCCGUAUACGCGGGCUGUCCAGGUGUUUAAAAAUCAUCUGAAGAAAGGGCCGGGCAAGACCGGUGCCAGCCGCCGCGGUAAUACCGGCGGCUCGAGUGGUGGCCACUAUUAUUGGGCUUAAAGCGUCCGUGGCUGGACCGAUAAGUCUCUUGGGAAAUCCGCCGGCUCAACCGGCGGGCGUCUAAGGGAUACUGUUAGUCUAGGGACCGGGAGAGGUGAGAGGUACUCCGGGGGUAGGAGUGAAAUCCUGUAAUCCCCGGGGGACCACCGAUGGCGAAGGCAUCUCACCAGAACGGCUCCGACAGUGAGGGACGAAAGCUGGGGGAGCGAACCGGUAUUAGAUACCCGGGUAGUCCCAGCCGUAAACUAUGCGCGUUAGGUGU
rnacentral:rRNA from 1 species